AUAAAUGAAAUUGGGCCAGGCGUGGUGGCUCACCCUUGUAAUCCCAGCGCUUUCAGAGGCCGAGGCAGGCGGAUCACCUGAGGUUGGGAGUUUGAGACCAUCCUGACCAACAUGGAGAAACCCCGUCUCUACUUAAAAUACAAAAUUAGCGGGGCGUGGUGGCGCAUGCCUGUAAUCUCAGCUACUCUGGAGGCUGAGGCAGGAGAAUUGCUUGAACCUGGGAGGCAGAGGGGGUGGCGAGCCAAGAUUGCACCAUUGUACUCCAGCCUAGGCAACAAGAGCGAAACUGUCUCAAAAAAAAAAAAAAAAAAAAAGUGAAAUUGCUUACCCAAAUCUACAGUUAACUUUCGUUUUUUAAUGCUUGAUGAAUUUGCAUGUCAUUCUUGGGCAGUGGCCAUGCUGUCUUCUCUGUAUUGUUCCAAUUUGGGUAUAUGUGCUGCCAAAGUGAGUACUGCAGAAUUAUUUCUUGAGAGAGGCACUUACAUGUGCUGAUUGGCACUAAAGCAGUGGAAUGGGAAGAAGAGACUUGGAAGGCAGCCCAGACGAUCCAGGCGUGUGCUAGAUGGCAACUGAGGAGCACGGUGCUACCAUCUUUACUGGUGUUUCCACCUAUGUGCCAGGGGUUCUGUGAGCUACCUGAGAAUACUGAAGUAUAUAAUGCUCUGGCACAUAGUUAGGCACUAAUCAGUGGUAUUUAUCAAGGUGAUUAAAAGCAGAUUUAAAAAGCAGCUCACAGUUGGGCGCGGUGGCUCACACCUGUAAUCCCAGCACUUUGGGAGGCCGAGGCGGGUGGAUCACCAGAGGUCAGAAGUUCGAGACCAGCCUGGCCAACGUUGUGAAACCCUGUCUCUACUAAAAAUACAAAAAUUGGCCACGUGUGGUGGCGGGCACCUGUAAUCCUAGCUACUUGGGAAGCUGAGACAGGAGAAUUGCUUGAACCCGGGAGGUGGAGGUUGCAGUGAGCCAAGAUCAUGCCAUUGCACUCCAGCCUGGGCAACAAGAGCGAGACUCCAUCUUGAAAAAAAAUAAAAUAAUAAAAAGCAGCUCAUACUAGGGAACUUGGUAAAGCAACCUCAUGCUGUUGUAGGUUGAAAGCCUGGUCAGCUAUUCUGCAAGACAGUCAAAAAUUGUUUACAGGGCUGGACAGCAUAUUGCUAUUGAAAAAUAGCUAUUAGGAGACCUUGCACAAUUUGUGAAACAUUGUUAGGCUCAUUGUACUGUGUAAAAUCAGGAAAGAAUUUGGGAACAUACUGAUACAACAAAAAGAUAGGUUGUCAAACCCUCACUUCACCAGAAAGCUAAAUUAACCAGAUAAGUCUUUCUGAAAGUUUUAGUGUCUUAGUUUGUUCCUGCGCUGUAACAGAAUACCUUAGACUGGGUAACCUAUAAAUAAUAGGAAUUUAUUUCUCACAGUUUUGGAGGCUGGCAAAUGCAAGAUCCAGGUGCUGGUACGUUCAGUGUCUGGCAAGGGCGGCUUUCUGGUCCAAGAUGGUGCCUUUUUUUCUGCAUCUUCCAUAGGGAAUGAACACUCCUUAUGGUAGAAGGGAUGGAAGGACCAGGCUUUUUUUUUUUUUUUUUUUGGAUACAGCAGGAUCUUGCUCUGUCGCCCAGGCUGGAGUGCAGUGGCAUGAUUAAGGUUCACUGCAGCCUCAAUCUCCCACUCUCCAGCGAUCAUCCCACCUCAGCCUCUUGGAUAGCUGGGACCACAGGCACGAGCUACCAUGCCUGGCUAAUUUAUUUUUUGUAGAGACGGGGUUUCGCCAUGUUGCCCAGGCUGGUCUGGAAUUUCUGACCUCUAGCAGUCCACCUGUUUCCGCCUCCCAAAUGCUGAGAUUAGAGGCAUGAGUCACUGCACCCAGCCCGCAGCCUCUUUUAUAAGGGCAUUAAUCCCCUUCAUGAGGGAUAUUCUCUCAUGACUUAAUCACCUGCCAAAGACCCCACCUCUUAAUACUACAUCAGUGAUGGGUUCAAUGUAUCAAUUGGGUGGGAGGGGGCACAUUCAGACCAUAGCAUCUAGUCAUUCUGGUUUUAUUAAGAUUUAUUAGACCUGAGGCAUGAAAAAUAGCAUACUGGAUGGGACUUCAGCAUCGAUGAGUUGCCUUAGUAAUACUGUUAAUAAAAAGCACUAAAUAUGC
rnacentral:lncRNA from 10 species